AGAGAGACGAGAGACGAGAGAGACGAGAGAGAGAGAGAGAGAGAGAGAGAGUACGCGCGAGCAACGAAGAGCACUGAGAAAGGGGACAGAGGGAGACAGAAGAAGUGGUGGGAGUGACUCCAGGCGUUAGCGAGAGAGCGAGAGAGGCGGGUAGAGGGAAAGGAGAGACAGAGACUCGACCAAGAGAAGGAGCGGUGGGAAUUUAUAAGGAUGUUCGCGAUAAUGCCGAUGGAGACAGAGGGGCACGGCAGGGAGUUCGGCCGGCGGCAGAAGAUGCGCGCCAAGUGCACGGUAGAGUUCGUCUGCAAGUACUGCCAGCGGCGCUUCACGAAGCCCUACAACCUCAUGAUCCACGAGCGUAGCCAUAAGGACGACGUGACCUUCACCUGCGAGGUCUGCGGAAAGUCCUUCAAGCGGCAGGACAACCUCAAGCAACACAGAUGUGGGUGGCGGUGAGCGGGAGCUCUGAACCUCCUGCACCUUGACACUUACACAAAACGCACACACCCGUCAUAAUAACAAUAAACAACAAGCAAUAUCAACAAUAACAUCACAACUGCAACAGUAAUGUAUAACAGUAAUUAGCAACAAAACAAGCCACAGGCCAUACGCACUUUGAUUGACCCCGCACUAUUUCCCGAUCGCGACGAAAGCGCGAUCGCAACAACUGUGUGACCACUAUACCGCCACCACUAGAAAGUCCUAGCAUGCAUAUACUACUUUUCCUACUUUUCUUCUUUCUUUUUCCUUCUUCUUCUUCUUCUUCUUCUUCUUCUUCUUCUUCUUCUUCUUCGUCUGCUUCCUCCGCUAUUUCGUUCUCUUCUACUAUAUCUGCGACUUUUACUAUCCCUCACUCGACUACGACCUCUUCAUCGUCGGCUAUUUCUUUGUACUAACACACGGCGCGCACGGCGUCCCACGCUUUAACGAGGCGACGGGAAAUGAUUGAUAGAUAGGAAGGAAAUUUAGAGAAUGAGCAUACACUCUGUUCCCUACAAGGGCUCCAACGGCUACUCAAAUGGCUAUUCGAAUGGCUACUCUAGGUACUAG
rnacentral:misc_RNA from 1 species